rnacentral:misc_RNA from 1 species
GCUCAAGACUCCAAAAGACAACCCUUUCGAGACCAUUUGGUCCCGCCGCAAAUUCGAUGUCCUUGGCAAGAAAAGGGGCAAGGGCGAAGAACGCCGUAUCGGCCUCGCACGAUCCCUCGCUAUCGACAAGAGGAAAAAGACGCUGCUGAAGGAGUUCGAGCAAAGCGGGAAGUCGUCGGUGUUUGUCGACAAACGAAUCGGGGAGAAGAAUGAUGAGCUCGGAGAGUUUGAUAAGGCAAUUAUGCGGUCCCAGCGCGAGCGUCAGUUGAAAUUAAGCAAGAAGAGCAAGUAUAACUUAUCAGACGGGGAAGAAGAAGAUUUAGAAAUUCAGGGCUUUGGUCCCCUUCUAGAGCGGGAUGAUUUUGACGAUGAAAUGCUGUCUGAUGAUGAUAAAGAUGAUGCAGAAGCAGAUGAAACAAGAAGGAAGUCAGCCAACUUAAAGCAACUUAAUGAUCAUGAUACACCAAAUCAAGUAGAGCAGGGCAUGGUGGAAGGGGAAGAAAAUGUGAGACCUACCCUGUUACUUCAGUUUUGGGUCUUCAAUCAUCAUGUUCAAAUUUGAGAAAUUAUAUAUUAUUCCUAUUACUAAAAUUUUUGGCCUUAGAAUUCAAUGAGAUAUUUCUGCAAGUCUGUUUAACAUAAUUGUGUUUAGCUGUUCUAUUCAAUUAAAAUUUUGGUGGGAAUGCCAGAUGAUGCCUUGUCCCUGAUUUAAUGUCCCUGAUUUAAGGUAUGAGUGUAUGACUUUCCAAUUGCAGAAGCACAAAACCAAGAAGGAAGUAAUGGAGGAGGUUAUUUUGAAGAGCAAGUUCUUCAAGGUGCAGAACUCUUUGUCUCACUGAAACUGCUUACAAAAUGAGACUAUGUCUUUGUUCUGAUGUUGUUACAUAAUUUUUUUUUGGACAUAUUGUGCCAGGCUCAAAAAGCAAAAGACAAGGAAGAAAAUGAAAAGUUGAUGGAAGAAUUGGAUAAAAGCUUCACAUCUUUAGUACAGUCUAAGGUCUUGUUAUCUUUGACUGAACCUGGCAAGAUGAAUGCCUUGAAGGCGCUUGUGAAUCAGAGCAUUCCUAAUGAGCAUGUGAAGAAGGAUGAUUUAUUAGUUACUCAAAAACCAGAAGCUUUUAGUCAGGGAAAACCUGAUUCUUAUGAUAAACUUGUCAAAGAGAUGUCAUUGGAUAUUCGUGCUUAUCCAUCAGACAGGACAAAGACACCAGAGGAGAUUGCCCAGGAGGAGAGAGAACGACUAGAGCGAUUAGAGGAAGAGCGACAGAAACGGAUGCUUGCAACUAAUGAUUCAAGUGAUGAGGAGAAUGAUGAUAUUGAAAUGCCAUUGACCCAGAGGCCAAGAUCAAUAUCUGGGGAUGAUCUAGGUGAUUCCUUUUCUUUCCAUGAAGAGCCUAAGGCUAGAAAGGGCUGGGUUGAUGAGAUUCUUGAACGAAGGGAUGUGGAUGGCUCUGAGAACGAAGAUGAUAAUUCUUCUGAAGAUUCAGAAAGUGCUGAAGAUGAUGGUGAUAAUGAAGGAUCUGAUGAAAGUGAUAAUAGUGAAGAUAAGGAUGAAAGUGAUAAAACUCUGUCGUUGAAGGACUGGGAGCAGAGUGAUGAUGAUAAUCUUGGAACAGAAUUGGAAGAUGAUGAAGAAGAGUACAAUGACAAACUUGAUGAUGAAGAUGAAGCAAUAGAGCCCAGAGGCUACAAGAAGUCAAAGAAAAAUGACAAUGUUGAGACUAGAGAAGGAAACGGCGAAUCUUUGGCUGCAAAGAACAUAAAGCACUGUUCAACUGAAAAAGAAAUUCCCUUUUUAAUUGAAGCCCCAAAGAGCUUUGAAGAACUGUGUGCAUUAUUGGAUAAUUGUUCUAAUGCUAAUGUUAUGGUAGUAAUCAAUCGAAUUCGAGCAAGCAAUGCUAUAAAACUUGCUGCUGAAAAUCGGAAGAAAAUGCAAGUAUUUUAUGGUGUAUUAUUGCAGUAUUUUGCUGUCUUAGCAAAUAGAAAGCCAUUGAACUUUGAGUUGUUAAAUUUUCUGGUUAAGCCACUGAUAGAGAUGAGCAUGGAGAUUCCAUACUUUUCUGCAAUAUGUGCUCGUCAGCGGAUCUUGCAUACUCGAACACAAUUUUGUGAAUCUCUUAAGAAUUCAGAGAAUGGUUGUUGGCCUUCCAUGAAAACAUUGUGUCUCUUGAGGUUGUGGUCAAUGAUUUUUCCAUGCUCUGACUUACGUCAUGUUGUCAUGACCCCAGCAAUAUUAUUGAUGUGUGAAUAUCUGAUGCGUUGCCCCAUCAUGUCUGGUCGUGAUAUUGCAGUUGGUUCUUUCUUAUGCUCUAUGGUUCUCUCUGUACGUACACUCUGGUCCAAAAAUUUUCCCUCCAUUUUUUUUCUAAUGAACCUUGUGCAAAAUGCUUCAUUUUAUUUUAACCUUGGGCACCUCUUCUUUAGGCCACAGGUUUUUUCAUCUUGCAGUUGGUUUUGGGCACACUUAACAGUCAUGACAUCCGUGUCCUCCUCCUGCAUUUAUCUCUAUGUUAUUUCUUAUUUAAUAUGAAGUAUAAACUUUUCACUUUCAAGCAUCCUGCUAUCGUGAUGCUUAAUAUCAUACAAUUUUAGCUUGCAUUAUACUGUCUACUUAGCCAUAAUGACAGCAGCUUGGUUAAAAUCAUAUGUUAGUACCACUUGCAUGACCUUUUUUUUUUCCCAUUCUUGCAGUUUUAAGCUAUUAAUGUGAUCCAUUUGUUGCAGGUCGUUAAACAAUCUAAGAAAUUCUGUCCUGAAGCCAUAAUGUUUCUCCAAUCACUGCUAAUGACAGCUAUUGAAAGAAAACAAGCAUCUUAUCAUGAAUCUCAGUUUUAUCAUCUUGUGGAACUAAAAGCACUUGGGCCCGUGCUAUUUAUUCGCCAUUGUGUAAAUGAGAUUAGUCCUCUGAAUUUCUUUAUGAUAAUGGACAUGCCAGAGGACUCUGCCUUUUUAAGUUCAGAUAAUUUCAGGGCUAGUGUGCUAGUUACUGUGAUAGAAACUCUACAGGGAUACGUUGAUGUUUAUGAAGGGCUGAAUUCCUUCCCUGAAAUAUUCUUGCCAAUUUCGACAUUGUUACUUGAAGUGGCAAAACAGGAACACUUGCCAGCAGCAUUACAAGAUAAAUAUAAAAAUGUUGCUGAACUUAUUAAGAAGAAAGCUGAACAAUAUACACAGCGGCUACCACUUCAAAUGCGGAAGAAGAAGCCACUGCCCAUCAAACUACUUACCCCAAAAUUUGAGGAGAACUUUGUUAAGGGUAGAGAUUAUGAUCCAGAUCGUGAACGGGCUGAAGGAAGAAAGUUAAAGAAACAACUAAAAAGAGAAGCUAAAGGGGCAGCUCGCGAACUGCGAAAGGACAAUUAUUUCUUAUAUGAAGUGAAGGAAAAAGAAAAAGCUUUAAUGGAAGAAGAAAGAGCAGAGAAGUAUGGACAGAGCAGGGCUUUCCUCCAAGAGCAAGAACAUGCUUUCAAAUCUGGACAGCUAGGAAAAGGCAGUAAGAGAAGAAGAUGAUUUUAUAUGUUUGUCCUACUUGCUUGUUUCCUUUGUAGUUUUUCUUAUUACUGAAAUCAUAUUUCCCACAUGAUUUU